rnacentral:rRNA from 1 species
GUCUACGGCCAUACCACUGAGAAAGCACCGGUUCUCGUCCGAUCACCGAAGUUAAGCUCAGUAGGGCGCGGUUAGUACUUGGAUGGGUGAC